UGGGUUUUAAUGGAGUUUUGUGCUUGAAAUCAUACAGAAAUUAACCAUAUCUACAAAUGGCUAGUGACCCAAUUAAGCCAUUAUAUUUUGAGAAAGCUAAGUCCUAUAUAUAUAUAAAAAAAUUUCAAAAAAGCGUAACUGCUAAUCAUUGUUUUCGGGAGUGUAUGUAUAAAGUAUUUGGAAGUCAUUUUUCAAAGUUGUCUUUCUGUGCAUGUGCUUUACAGUUGGUAUACAACAUGGAGAAGAGGUUCCAGGAGAUUUUCAAUUUUAUGUCUAGGGGUGAAUUCCCUAAUUUAUAGUGAAUCUCAGAAAUGUGCUUUAAGAAGAUAUAUGCAGAAGCUCAAACUGAAGGUCCCGAACAGAAGCACGAUCACUGUUUAAUGAAGUACACUCGGCUUCAAUUGGUGCACACACAGGCACUGUUAAAACCAGAUCCUCAAUGUACUCCAGAAAUUAUUGGGAUGGCAUGACAGUGGACAUUGACUGAUGGGUCUCUGAAUGCGACGGAUGUCAGAGGACUGGUAACUCUUUGGCUGUGUGUGACACAGCCAUUACAAAGCAUUAAGGUGUCUGCUGUUUGGGAGUUGGUUGGGAUAGACCUGACUGGGCCUCUCCCAAAAACCAAGGAUGGCUUUCAGUACCUUCUUACUGCCACCGAUUAUUUUUCCAAACAUAGAUGCCCCCAAAGAAUCCUGUCCGACCAAGGAAGAGAAUUUGUC